UACGUAGGGCGCGAGCGUUGUCCGGAAUUAUUGGGCGUAAAGAGCUCGUAGGCGGCCUGUCGCGUCGGUUGUGAAAGCCCGGGGCUCAACCCCCGGGUCUGCAGUCGAUACGGGCAGGCUAGAGUUCGGUAGGGGAGAUCGGAAUUCCUGGUGUAGCGGUGAAAUGCGCAGAUAUCAGGAGGAACACCGGUGGCGAAGGCGGUUCUCUGGGCAUUACCUGACGCUGAGGAGCGAAAGCGUGGGGAGCAAACAGG
rnacentral:rRNA from 1 species